rnacentral:lncRNA from 1 species
AUUUAGUUAACUAAAUUAAAUAUUUUAUUAAAUUCAUUGGUAAUUCAUAAAAUUUACUAAUUUAAACUUAACUUAGCAAAAUAACUGUAACGACCCAACCCACUACAACAAUAACUUGUUGGGUCCAGUCACCGGCCCAAAAUACUUAAGCCCAUUAUUAUUACCCAAUUACAUUCCUAUUCAUAUCCCAUACCUAUCGCUAGCAUGUCAGUACCUGGCUCAGCCAAAACUCAUCUCACGCUUCUGGCUGAUGAACUGGCUCUGAUACCAAAUGUAACGACAUAGCCCACUAACAACAAUAACUCGUUGGGCCCAAACCAACAGCCCAAAAUGCUUAAGCCCAGUUAUUAUUAUUAGUGUCUAGUGCCUAAGUCUCUUAUAUACCAAUCACAUCCCCAUUCAUAUUCAAUGUGGAAUUAUUGAGGUGUGACAAUAACACAAAAAAAAAAUAUUCAAAGGGGGUA